rnacentral:rRNA from 1 species
UUUACUAGAUGCUGACGAGCGGCGGACGGCUGAGUAACGCGUAGGAACGUGCCCCAAAGUGAGGAAUAACUGCCCGAAAGGGUGGCUAAUGCCGCAUAUGAUCUUCGGAUUAAAGUCUUCGGACGCUUUGGGAGCGGCCUGCGUUAGAUUAGGUAGUUGGUAGGGUAAUGGCCUACCAAGCCGACGAUCUAUAGCUGGUCUGAGAGGAUGAUCAGCCAGACUGGGACUGAGACACGGCCCAG